CAUUGAUGAAGAGUAUAUUUUAGUAACUUUGUAUGUGGCACUCUGUACUUGUAGAAUCAUUUAAAAAUUAAUACUUCUUUGCAUUUUUGCAGUUAAAGUUUUGUGCUAUUUGAGAUUCUCAGCUUUGGAAGUCCCGCAGAUCUUAGGAAGUAUCCCUGUUGGAUGCCCCACCCACCGUGCUGCUCUACGGCGUUAGUCCGAAUGGAGGUGACGUGGACAGCGGUGUUGAGUCCUUGCAGAGCAUCAUGGAGGUGCUGUGUGUGGCCGAGGAGCUGGCCCCCGUGAUGCACAACACGCGUGGCCAGCUCAGCAGUGGGAAAGGUACUGAGGUCCGAGAAGCCACUUAGCAGCUAAAGGGCCCGAAGAAGGACAUUCCUUCUGGACAAUAAGUACAGAGGCAGGAAGUAAACAUGCACUUGGCAAAACCAAUAAGAAAGAAUUAAGAUUUUAAAAACAGGAUUACAGUUGCGUUUUCUGGAACCCAAUCUGAGCAGCUGAGCCCAUCUGUGGCUAAAGGUUAGUUCUGAGGACGGUUUAUUGCCAGAUGCCGCUUAGGGCCGAGAGACCUGCGGGUCUUGGGCCCCAGGACGUGCUCCUCUCCACUCCCGAGCUGACCAACACAUGCAACCGAAGGAACGACUCCAGCGAGACAUGCUCCUCUUGCAAAAACAGCUGAGCCUCUGUAGGACCCUCCAUCAUUUGUCAGAUUUAACAACCCAGAGUAAAUAGCUCUCUGAAAAGUAACUACAGGUCCAUCCCGUUGAUCCCAAUUUGUCAAAUGUUGCAAUGAAGAAAGCGCUAAGCCUUUAGGAAGGGUGUGAAGAGAUUUGUAAUUUAUCCGAAACUCUCGACCAAGGCUCAGAAAUAGAUUUUCUAUCUUGCAUCUAUAUAGUUCCUAUUGACCUAAGAGUGGGAUUUCUUCUGUCAUUAUUUCUGUGAUACAAUUCAGAAAUU
rnacentral:lncRNA from 12 species